rnacentral:misc_RNA from 1 species
GAUGAAGAACGCAGCGAAAUGCGAUAAGUAGUGUGAAUUGCAGAAUUUAGUGAAUCAUCGAAUCUUUGAACGCACAUUGCGCCCUUUGGUAUUCCUUAGGGCAUGCCUGUUCGAGCGUCAUCUACACCCUCAAGCGCAGCUUGGUGAUGGGCGCCUGUCCCGCCCCCCACGGGGGCGCGGACUCGCCUCAAAUGCAUUGGCGGCCGGCGACCUGGCUUCGAGCGCAGCAGAAACGCGUACUCGGGGACCGGGCGCCCGCUCCCAGAAGCCAACCCACCCAGUUUGACCUCGGAUCAGGUAGGGAUACCCGCUGAACUUAAGCAUAUCAAUAAGCGGAGGA